CUCGGUUCUCCCGGCGUUGCGGGACGCGUGCGGAGCUCCGGCUCUCCGCUGGGGGGCGCCUCGCCGCCUCCCCUCUGCCGCGCGGCGUCCUGGGAGUGGAAGCGCCCGGGGAGGCUGACUCAGGUGUAUUUCCCCAGGCCCUCCUCUUCUGAGCCAAAGGAAAGAGGGUAGGAAAAGCCUGAAACUGACUCUUCACGGCUCUGUACACCAGGACUCAGAGACGACUUGCCCAAGGCCAUGUGGGGGGCCUCUGGAAUCUGACAGCUGCUGUGUUCUCUCUCUGGUCAUUUUGGUCCUCGGAAGCAGAUUUGAAAACAGAGAUGGAAGUGCAGGAGAUUUACUGGGGACAACACCUGCAAGAAAAAGAGCCUCCAUCCUGAUGUCUGAGCCUCUCGGAGAUUCUUCAAGCAUGUUUGCUGCCAUGGAUCCUUGAUGACUCAGCAGCCCAUGCCAUUGUCUGGAAACUCCAGUAGUAAUAUUUUUCUCAGACUGAGUGGAAUACCACAGAUUCCAACCUUCUGGUGCAGGAUGGCCCCUCGGGGGUAUGCAGACACCCAGUUCUUUCCACUGUCCUCACUCCAAGGGCAGGGGCCUGGGGCUGCUCACACUGGUGUUCCCAACUCCUAGCACAACGUGACUCAGGGGAAAGUCUCAGUAACAUGUUCAUGGUCUGAACAGAUAAGUGGUACAAGAUAUGGUUUCCACACCUGCGCAUUCGUGGUUACUUCCCCGAACCAUGUUCCAGUUUUCUGAUGUUUUUCUGAAAGUGUAGGGCCCAGAAUGGAGCACAGAACUCCAGAAAUAUAUGAGCAGAGCUGAGCAGAAAGGGACUGUCACCUCUUCACUCUAGAUAUUGGACUUCUAAUAACUUGUCCAGACAUUUCAUAAGCUUUUUGGUGACUGUUUGCCCUGGUGACAUACAUUAAGCUAUGAUCAAGUGUUCUGUUUUUAUGCCCCUUCCCUGUACUGUUGCUAAACCUCAUUUUACUACCCCUUCUCACUUAAUCUCAUUCUGACGAUGGCAUUGUCCCCUUCCCCUCCCCCAGGAAUGGCAAGUUGAUUACAGCUCAAGAGCCCACUUUGGUUGGUAGCCAUAGCCCAAAGCAUAGUGUUGAGAUAGAUUCUAGAACUGAGCUUGGGCUCAGUGUGAAAGACUGCUGUAAUUGAUUAAUGAUGUCUGCCAGGAUAUAGGAAGGGAAGUGCUAAUUUACUUGAGAUGUACUUGUCAUUCCCCAUCACAGGUGCUUCUAACCUGGGGACCAUAGGAAGAAUUCAGGAGGCCUACCAUUAACUUGGAUAGGAAAAGGAUUGCGCCUUUAAUUUCACUAGCCUCUUUCUGAAAUUUAUCACUCCUUCAAUGAUGAAUGCAGGCCACAGACCAUAGUGGCAUUAGCAGGACCUGUAAAUUGUCACUAAUAGAAAUCACAGAUAUUUUCUUGUCACAUUACAGAUGUUCCAGAUAUCUUGAAAUACCGUAUAUGCUCAUAAUGACUU